AGAGUUUGAUCCUGGCUCAGGAUGAACGCUAGCUACAGGCUUAACACAUGCAAGUCGAGGGGAAACGGACAUCGAAAGCUUGCUUUUGAUGGGCGUCGACCGGCGCACGGGUGAGUAACGCGUAUCCAACCUGCCCACCACUUGGGGAUAACCUUGCGAAAGUAAGACUAAUACCCAAUGACGUCUCUAGAAGACAUCUGAAAGAGAUUAAAGAUUUAUCUGUGAUGGAGUGGGGAUGCGUCUGAUUAGCUUGUUGGCGGGGUAACGGCCCACCAAGGCGACGAUCAGGUAGGGGUUCUGAGAGGAAGGUCCCCCACAUUGGAACUGAGACACGGUCCAACUCCUACGGGAGGCA
rnacentral:rRNA from 1 species